rnacentral:misc_RNA from 1 species
GGACAACGUGGAGGGUAUUUUGAAAUGACAAAUCUUCCUCCCAAGACAGUAGACGAGAUCUACAAGGUUGCAUCAAUCGCACUCAGUCCAAAUGUUCCUGGGCAGAUCUUUAUGGGUUUAAUGGUUAACCCUCCUAAGCCUGGAGAUAUCUCUUAUCUGAAGUUUUCUGCUGAAAGCAAGUCUAUCCUCGAGUCUUUGAGGAGGAGAGCACGCCUGAUGACAGAUGGUUUCAAUAGUUGCCGAAAUGUUGUCUGCAAUUUCACAGAAGGAGCUAUGUACUCUUUCCCCCAAAUACGCUUACCACCAAAAGCUAUAGAUGCAGCCAAAAGGGCUGGCAAAGCGGCCGAUGUUUUCUACUGCCUCAAGCUUCUUGAAGCAACUGGAAUAUCCACUGUUCCAGGGUCAGGUUUCGG